ensembl:lincRNA
CACCCAUGCUUCUGGCCCUGGCUCUGCCCCCUGUCUCCCCAGCUGUGUUUGGGUUGGGCCCAAGGUGCCAGCCUGCCUCGCCAGCAGCUUGGGGGACAUCUGAGCCCUCCAGGCCUGGCGCCAGGGCCCAAGUCACUGACUGAGGGUGGGGGAAGAGCCUGGGAGCCAGGUGGGGGCCUCUCCCUGCUGUCAGCACUCAUGAUGGAUGAGGGUUAGGGCAGGGAGCCGGGCCAGGGGGCUAGAGGCCUGCCUGCUGCAGGGGCGCUGGGGCUGGCCUCCUGCGGUCUGCAGGAAGAGCCUCUGCCACUCGCAGCUGGGGUGUGGGUCAGGGCUCCCACCCAGCAGGGGUGUUUAAAGGCCCAGAAGGUGCCGAGCCUGCCCACUCCCCUGCACCAUGGGCAUCUGGGCCUUGUCUGCAGCCCUUUUCCUGCUCUGUCUGACUCCCGAGAGCCUGCAAGGCGGGCUGCCCCCGCUCCCUGCUGGCCUGCGGAUAGGCUACGGCCCUCCCAGGGGGCUGGAAGCAGGCAUUGGAGCAGGUGUGAACCCUCAGAAGCCAGGAUAUGGAACCAGGCCAGGAGCUGCAGCCUUCCUAGGGGUGGGAGCACAGCCAGGCCCUGUGCCUCAGAAUGGCCAUGGACCAGGGCUCAGCAGUGGGAAUGGGAUGGGAGCUGGUCCCUUUCUGGGAGCUGGAGUCCAGCCAGGAUUUGCCAAUGGAAACAGCCUGGCACCCCAGCCAGGCCCUGCAGCUCCAAAUGGCUAUGGACCAGGCUAUGGAGGGGGUGUGAAUCCUCAGCAGCCAGGCUUUGGAGGGGACAUGAAACCUCAGAAAGCAGGGCUCCUGCAUGGGAAUGGGCUGGGAGCCCAGCCAGGUUUUGCAGGGGGCAGGAAGCCCCAGAAGCCAGGCCCUGCAGCUCUAAAUGGCUACGGACCAGGUAGGGGUGGGCUGGGAUUCUGGGGAGGCCCAAGGGUGAGGACCCCCAUGCUUCUCCCCAGCUCCCUGUCUCUCCUCCAGGCUACAGAGGGGGUGUGAAGCCCCAGCAGCCAGGUGAGGCCUGCCCCAUGCUGUCACCCCAGCCCCAGCUGAGCUCCCCUCCCCUCAUUCACACCACCUCCAUCCAUGACCCCAGCGCUCAGGCAGGGGUCUCCCAGGAGAGUCACCAGAAUCCUGGCUCUUAAGGUGGCAUCAAAGGCCCUUCUUCCCCCACCGUUGCCAGGGUCUGAACCCCCUGCUCACUCCCCCACAGGCCCCCCAGCUCAGAACAGCUAUGGAGCAGGCACUGCAGGACUGGGGGAGGCUAGGCAGAGGAGGCAGGGGGUGAGUCUCCACCCCUGGCCUGUCUGAAACCUUCCUCACCUCAGCCCCUCUUCUCCACAGGCCUUGUGUUUCCCCUCAGCCGUGGACCAGGUAGGGAGGGGUGGGCACUGGGGCCAGGGGCCAGGAACCCAGAGGAGAGGCCUAUGGUGAGGACGUCUGCGUUGCUCACUUGCCCUCUUUCCCUUCUCCAGCCAUCGAGGGGGGCAGGAAGCUCCAGAAGCCAGGUUAGCCUUUUCUGUCAACACCUCCCACCCCUGUCCUCCUACAAAUUGUCUGCUGCCCCUUCCCCUCCCAAGCCUCUGUCUCUGCGGGACACAGGACCAGGCUGAACGCUGCAGCUUUUCCCUGAGAAGGGGCCCAAGUGGGUGAGGGGCAGGAGGAUAGCGCUCCACGGCCUCCUUGGUCCUGUCUGUCUCUCCCCAGGCCUGCGGGGGCGGGGGGGGGGGACCUCUGAGGCCGGACAAGGGGGAGGCCCCACCUCCAGCUCCUGCCUCCUGGCUUCCCUUUCCCUCUGCCCCUCACACCCCCACUUUUCUUCCCCAGGAUACAGCAAUGGAAAUGGGCUGGUAGCCCAGUCAGGUGGGGCCACAAGGACCAGGCUUGGGGACCCAGGAGGGAGGGGGGUGUGGCUGGUGGGCAGGAAGCAGGAGCCCCUUGCCUGCCUGUUGUGGGCUGUGGAAGCUGAUCUUUCUCCACUCAGUUUUUUUUUUUUUUUUUUUUUUUUUUUUCUUUUUUGGGUACCGGGGAUCCAACUCACAACCUUGCGCUUGCCAGGCGGGAGUUUACGCCUCUGAGCUAUAUGCUAUCUCCCCUCAGCUGGUGGGUUGGCCC